GUCCUAAGUAACAAAAUAAACAAAAAUGAGGUUUUUGCAUAUUUUAAUACCUAAUAAACUGCUUUAUGCUGUGUAGCAAGAUCACAAUUCAACAAUAGUUAAAAACUUUUUAAAUUGAAAAAAUCAAACUGGCUUAAGUAACAAAGUGACCACUUUUCAUUUGUGUCGCUUUGUCGGUAUAAUGACUUAUGUAACGCACGUAACGCACAACUGACGUAAGUGCGCUGUCAAAGCGUCCUAAGUAACAAAGUAUGUAAAUAAGAAUCAGUAGUGCUUACGUCGUUAUUCUCCUAUAGCGCAAUCCUAAACCACAGAGUGUAUCAUCGUCCUCCUCGGUCCAAAGACGGUUCCGGUGGAAGCUCUGGUGGAAAAAAAACCUGUAUAUCUUCACUAAAAUCAGUUACCAGCAAUCAGGCCAUCAGUAGCCAGCAGCCUCACAGUUCUAAAAGCGGCGCUUCCGCGCUUAUACGAAUGGAGGUCAAAAUAGGUUUCUCCCGGUCCAAGUAGAACUAAAAGCAGUAGGAGCAGCGGAUCUCCGUCCUCCUCCUCGUUGCCAUAGUCGUCUGCACCAAGCGCAACUUUGUUUUGCCUCGCCUCGGUUUCAAAUCCUCCACUUCGGUCCGGCAUCGUCAGCUGUAACGGUGACCCUGGCAGCGCAUUUUUCAUGGUCACAAUGCUGGGUAAGAGCUCGGAAAACAUCGUCAAACCCAGCUCGGGCGGAACCAACUGACCAUACAGAUCAUUGGAAGCCACAAAAGGUGAAAAAACUGCCAGCAACUGCAGGUCUUGCUCAUCGUCGUCGUCGCCAACUUCCAAGAACAGCAGCUCCGAACCAAACCACCAAGUAUACCGCCGAAAAUGCCAAUGGAGUGGAGAGUAGAAUUUUUGAAAUUGGUGCGGUGGUACUUUCUAAAAACUUUUCAGCUAGCAGCAGCAGGUUCACUUAGUUCUGUGAUUAUUAAUCUCAAGUCUGCUUAUGGUGGCCAAAGGAAGUACUUGAUGCUACUCCCAAAGCUAGCUCAGCAAGCAAGAAAAAAUGAAUUUCAAAAGAAUCUGGAAAGAAUGUUCCCUCGGCGUCAUCGUCGGCUACACUGGCUACAGGCCCCCCACUUCGAACGGACCGGCAUCGCCAGCUGCAACAGUGACUCUGACAACGCAUUUCUCAUGGCCACAUUGUUGUGCAAGAACUCUAUGUACAUGGUAUAACCCAGCUCGGACGAAAAUAAACUAACCAUGUAGAU